GUGCUCACUUCAGCAGCACAUAUACUAAAAUUGGAAUACAGAGAAAAUUAGCAUGGCCCCUGUGCAAGGAUGACACACAAAUUCAUGAAGCGUUCCAUGUUUAA
ensembl:snRNA U6 U6 spliceosomal RNA